ensembl:lncRNA
CCUUUCAGUUUUGGUGAUUCAUUUUGCUGAGGUCACAUGGAGGAAGGCACGACAUCGGCCGCUGCCCACCGAGGCCAAGGUGGGCACCGUGCUGCCCUCAAACGCACCAGGCUUUCGGCAGCGAUCCCAGCCUGGACCGGGCAGAUCCUCCAUCCCCUCCUGUUUGCUGCACCCUGCCCCAAGAGCCAGAUCCCAUGAGGGGCAUUUCUCUCCCAUGCAGGUGAUGCCCGAUCACUCUGCCCAUGCCCAAGGCACAGCUCCAAGCCUAGGGCUGGGCAUCGCAGCUGGACCUGCUAUGGGGAGGGCAGGGAUAUGCCAAGUCCCAGUUUAGAAACCCUCGAGGUUACAGAGCUCAAACAGGAGACAGCAGUGGAAAAACUCUCCGCACGCAGCGAGCGCUGCCUGCUUCCUCUUGCCACAAAGCAAGGCACUUCCAUCCUCCGAACAAUUGAAAUUAGCUCCCCCCACCCCAAAGUAUUCCUGCGAGGCAAACUGCAGAAUGGAAAGCUGACGGCCAGCACAAAACGACAAAACGUUGAGAAGCAAACCAGGGCUUUUUUGGAGACAAACCACCAAAGGUGCACACACCAACACGGCCCUCGGCCCGAACCCCACAGCGACCACUGCGCCCCACAGCCCCGCAGUCACCCCCCGUGGCAGUGCUGCACACAUGUGUCACGUUAGCACGGCCCGGGGAGCUGGCAGCACGUGGGGACAUGCGUCAGCGGCCGGAUCUGUGCGUGCUGCCCAAGCACCAGCAGGGCCUGGCUUCCCACCGGGACACAGCUAACGCUGGGGACUUCACUGGUUAAAAAGCUGCCAGAAGCCGAGGAGGACAUCACCAGACCCGAGGUCACAGCUGCUGCUGUGCCCUGCAAAAGCAGAGAGAUGCAGGAAUGCCAAGGGGGGGGGAGAACAAACCUCACGUGCUUUUGGUGGACAGGGGUGGCCCGCCCUGCAGCUCAAGGUUGAAGCUGGUGAGGAGAGGGACAGCAGUGGCCCUGAAGGGUUUUCACUGUUCUUCAGCUUGGGAAGCUGUAGGUGAUGUGCCCUGGGGAGCCAACCCGUGUUUUUAAACAAGGGCUUGGGAGCAGCUAUGCCUGUGGCUGUGCUCAGCCCAAGACCUGCUCCUUGUCCCAGCAGCACCAGGAAUAGGGCUGCAGAGCUGUUCCUAAGCACACAUGCACAUUCCUGUGCGCACAAGCAACUGAGGGAGGACAGAAUGAAAGAGACAAACAGAGGAGAUGAUUGCCUAGUUCCUAUGGGUUGUAAAUAAAACCAUGUGGCAGCUCUGAACAAAACGAUCCUUGGACUUCUCCCAAAAAAGUUUGGCCAUCCCUGGAUGAAGAAAGGUUGAGAAGCUAUGUCUGUGGACAGCACAUUUCAAACAGAGCUCACAUGCAGAGAACAGAGCGAGAAGGGCACCCGCAUCACUGCAGGGGUCCUGCCCACAGCAUAACUGCUCCCCGGGUGCUCCGGAGGAACUCAUCAUCAGGUCCUUCCCAGGGAGCAUACAGCAGCCCAGCGAGGAUGGAAUGCAUGGGUUUGCUCCUGGCUGACGCUCCCAGCAAACAUCAGAGACAAAUCAUCACGUGGGAGUGGGCAGAAAACCCAGGGCUGGCAUCCCAUUCCUCAGCUCUGCCCUUUCUUCAGCGUCAAGAUCCCUCCCCACGUUCCCUGGAGCAUCUGCGGCUCCCCAAGGCCACCCUGCAGAAAUCCCCACACCAGUAAACCUGUCAGCAGCACCCAGCGACUGUGGUUGCCAUUAAUCCAAUCCCCAGUUAAAAAAACUUCAUUCCCAGAAAUUUUGGAGGGGUUCUGCCAGGAAAGUUUUGGCAAAGGGCCACGCGGAUUGCAAAAGGCACCAUUUUUAGGAAUGCCACCACAAAAAUCACAAAGCGCUCCGACUGCAUGCCUUACUGCCAGCUCCCAGCAGCAAUUCCGGUCCCACCAUCCCACCCUGCUGCAGCACCAGCACUCCUGGGUGACAAAUGGAUGGAGAAAGCGAGGCAGGGAAGCCCCAGGACUUGUGUCCACGUGCCUGGGAUGUUCUGUGGUUCUGGCACGUUCCCUGACCCAACACUCAUCAGCCCCACCGGCAGCUGAAGAUUCCCCAACCCAGGCACCAAACCUGAUCAGAGCCACCCUGCUCCGCUGCUGCAAGGAAAUCUCCUGCCCCGUGACAAAGCGACUCACGGCCCAAUUGCACUGCUUUCCCCAUCGACAGCUCGUAUUAUUGUUAGUGAUGAUUCAGGCUUUGUCAGCUCAAGCUUAGGCAACAGCUGCCCAUGUUUACGGCCCGGCACCGAGGCACUGCCCGACAUACAAACACACUUCUUGGAAGAAGGCUGAGGGCAGCACGGCGCAGGGGCAGCGCACUCUGCCCACCCGCACAGCUCCUUCUUCCGCAGCAUCCGGGGAGGGAAGGGAACAAAGAAAGAGAACAAUUGCUAUUGUUUCUGCAGACGUUCUCAGGGCUGGUUCCGCUGCUGCCCAGAGACGUUGGCCGCACAGAGGCCCUGCUGCGCUUGGAGCUGCGCUGAUGGCAGCUUCCAUCCCCAUCCCAACCUGCUCGUGGAGCUUGGCAUGGAGCACCAGGAACCCAAGGGUUGGGGCCAGCCAAGCUCCUCUGCCCGCAGGCCAGGGCACCCGGGAAAAGGAGAAGAGGAGGAGGAAGAAGAGGUCAGCAUAGUGAGACUGGCUCUUGCUUCCCUUCUGCAUCAGAAGAGCAGCCUCGGUGCUGGUGGGGCUGCACGCUGCAAACAUAGGGCUGCUGCUGGGCACGGGAGGCAGAGGCAGGGCUGGUGUGGGCAGGGCAAGCAGGCUCUAGCUCCUACCCUGAACACAGCCAAAUUACAGCCCUUCUUUGUCCAGCACCCAGCCAGACCUACCUUUGAAGUGCGAGCUCUGAGGAACAAGCAGGAGGCUGCCAGGAGCAGAGGGUGAAUGCAUUGGAGCCAGGAGGGAGACAGGGGACACAGCAGGCACCAAGGUGCUGAGCCCCACCACCCUGUGAUAGUCAAUCCUAUCCCAAGAAGAGUUGCAAGGGCCAGGCACCUCAGAACACAUG